rnacentral:rRNA from 1 species
UACAGAGGUCUCGAGCGUUGUUCGGAUUCAUUGGGCGUAAAGGGUGCGUAGGUGGCGCUGUAAGUCAGGUGUGAAAUUUCGGAGCUUAACUCCGAAACUGCAUUUGAUACUGCGGUGCUUGAGGACUGGAGAGGAGACUGGAAUUUACGGUGUAGCAGUGAAAUGCGUAGAGAUUGGGAAGAACACCAGUGGCGAAGGCGGCUAUCUGGACGGUUACUGACGCUAAGACUCGAAAGCGUGGGGAGCAAACAGG